GUAAUAAGGGGAGGGAAUAUGGCGCUGGAGAGGAGUGCCUUUCUUUCAAAAAAAAGCUUCAGUAUCAUUCAGUACAGUGUUCACCGGUACAGGGCGGGCAGGCAGCCGCCUUGAAGGCGACUAAAACAUGCUUCUCUACUACGGAAAUAAAAACGUGGGCGCCCAUGACAUGAUUUAAGCCAGAAGAGACAACGAGAGGAAGAAGUUAAAAAGUGAAAAGUCGCCGGUGGAAUUGGGAGCCUCAUGUUUGUGUGUUGAUACCUGUCCAGACCAACCCCCGACAUCCUUUUAUUGAGGCUCCUCUUGCCCUGUGACCUCCUGACACAGAGAGGAUGGUGAUGGAGGAGGGGGCCCGGGCAGAGAGAGGUAGGAGGGAUCCACUGGCUGCAGCAGGAGCAAGCGGAAGGCAGAUUCUGGUGGAGCUUGGGGAGCAGAACCUUGAUGCCAUUUGUCUCUCUACGUAUCGAACAGCCUGCAAGCUGAGAUUCAUACAGAAGAGAUGCAACUUGCAUCUCAUCGACAUAUACCACGUGAUCGAAGCGGUGCGCGACGCUGGUCUGAACGCCGUGGAACUGAAUGCUGGCAUUUCUGUGACCAGGCUGGAGAACCUGGUGUCCUCUCUGUUCAACCAGCUCAGCAAGCGCCUGCCCACCACACACCCCAUCGAUCCACGCGAGAGCACUCUCCUGUUAGUCCAGUUCAUACUUGCCGCCAUUGAGAGUGAGCCAGAGAGCCGACUGACAGUACUAUCAGUGAAGGCCAUUCUGUCUGUGCUGUGUGGAGGAAAACUGGUGGACAAGCUACGCUAUGUGUUUUCUCAGGUGUCAGACUCCAGCGGUGCAAUGGUAUUGUCCAAAUUUGACUAUUUUCUAAGAGAGGCCCUCAAACUGACCUCAGCCGUGCACGAACGACCGUCCUUUGGCUACACGAAUAACAUGGCUCGCUCCUGUUUCCCACAGCAGAAGAGGGUGAUGCUCAACAUGUUCCUGGACAUUGUGUCGGACCCUCCCCGUUGUCUUGUCUGGCUGCCCCUAAUGCAUCGCCUUGCCAACGUGGAGCACGUCCACCACCCCGUGACAUGUUCCUACUGUCGCAGCAACGGUAUGACAGGCUUCCGCUAUCGCUGUCUCCGUUGCCGUGGAUACCAACUCUGCCAAAACUGCUUCUGGCGCGGCAAUGCCAACGGCUCUCAUAAUAACCAGCAUCAGAUGAAGGAGCACUCAUCCUGGAAGUCACCCGCCACCAAGCUGGGCCGAGCGCUGGGCAAGACCCUGGGCUGCGUAUCUUCCAGGGAGCCCCCCCACCCAGUUUACCCAGAAGAACCUGAGAGGACCCUAAAUCUCGCAAAUAUAGUCCCUUCUCAACCGAUUGAGAACACAAGCUCAGCCAUGUUGCUGUCCUCGCAAGCGCCAGAGUCCUCCAAGAGUUUGGCCGCGGCUGGGCGCAUGAACGAGGAACACGCUUUGAUCGCCGCUUAUGUGAAUCGCCUGCAGAGCAGUCCACGCAACGCUCACAGCCCCAGCAGGCAAGACGAGGAACACAAACUCAUCGCCCGCUACACCUCUCGACUGGCAGAGAGUGAAAGCUCCGGGGUGAUACCCACCCGGAGCAUUAACUUUGACGUGAACAAACAGAAACGGGAGCUUAUUGCUCAGCUGGAAUGUAAAAACAGAGAGAUUUUGGCAGAGAUCAAACGUCUCCGCUCAGAACACGACGCCGUGUGCCAGCCCAGUCCCGAGAAGGGCAGCACCAACCCAACUCUCCUGGCUGAGCUUCGCCUGCUCAGACAGAGGAAAGAUGAGCUGGAGCAGAGGAUGUCGUCUCUACAAGAGAGCAGGAGAGAACUGAUGGUUCAGCUGGAGGGACUGAUGAAGCUUCUCAAGGAUGAGGAACAACGACAGGCAGCGCAGGCAGCUGGUUCUUCUCAAGCUUUUCCUUCCCGGCCGAGUCCAUCUCCUGUCCGCUCGCUCGGUACCGCGUCUCCCCAGAUGUAUUCGCCCCAAGACUCCCUCGCCGGGGUGGGCGGGGACGUACAGGAGGCUUUCGCCCAAGGACCCAGGAGAAACCUGAGGAACGACCUCCUUGUGGCAGCCGACUCCAUCACCAACACUGUGUCCUCACUGGUCAAAGAGCUUCAUUCUGAUGACGGUCGAGAGGAAGAGGAGAGGUUGCUGAACGGCAAGGACAGAGCUGGCAUCAUUAACAUGCCAACUCAUUAGUUCUUUAUGUGUUGGCUGCCUGCAGAGGUGAAGCGUGCAGUCCCCUUCCUGGUCUGCCCCCGGGUUCAGACUCAAGACUCAUUAGGAUGCUAACCUGCAUGGUUAACCUGCUAACAAUUUAACACAGAGACAGGAGGUCCACGUCAGUAUAUUCGACACCGUUAAGAUGGAAAGGAACCGCGUGCACCUGCAAGCUCACAUGCUUCUCGUUAAGCUUUGCGGUAGCAACUUGCUUUAACGGAGCAUGGCACGGUUCAUUUCUCAUGGAACGUUUCCUCUCUUUAGCAGGUUAAAUUUGAUCACAGGACAAACAAAAACACAUGUCACCAUCCCCGCCAAAGGAGAAGCUAAAUGGCGACAGAAGAGACUUCCUGAUUAGCACAACGGCCAAUCAGCCAAUCACAAUGCUGGACACCGCAGGGCCCACCUGGUCCUCUACUGAUGUAUAGCUCUGAAUCAGUGUUUGUCUUUGUCACUGUGGUUUGCUUGAAUCCGGCAUAGCUAAGCAAGGAGUCUGAAGCCUACUGAUUUGUACCGUAGCGUGUGUGUGUGUUUGUGUCCUUUUUUUGUUUGUUUUUGAGGCAUGAGAGGGUUCAAGUAAGUGAAAGGGGUGUGUGAAGAGCAGGUGAGUCAGGAUGUAGAUACAGGAUGUAGAUCCAGAAGGAAGAAAAAACAAAAACCAAGGGAAGGUCAAGAGAUGAGUUUUUAAUUUUCAGCACUGUGUGCUUUGUAUUUAUUUUAUUUUAAUAUUUUUGCUUUGAUUUUAUGUUGUAGUUAUUUGGUUCUUGUGCGAGUCCAUGUGUAAAUGCAUGAGGUCAGGCCCUGCUGAGACAUGAAUCUUUAAUGGGACAUUUGCUGCUGUUUUGAGGCGCUAGCCCUGGUCCAGGUGUGAAUAACUCCACUGGUGCUCAUACUAUAGCAGCUCAGGUUGUCUGUCCUGGUACUGAAGUCAGACUUGUGUGUUUGUUUUUUUGUUUGUUUGUGUGUGUGUCAUGUUAAAAAUAUAUUAAUAAGAUGUAAGAUAUUUUAUGCAACAGCAAAGUGGGAGGAGACAUUACUAACAAGCCUAUGUUGCUUUAAGCAGGCGUUUUCAAACUGUGACACAGCCUCCCCUCGGAGAAUAUGAGACGGUUGGGAUCUCCCCUAAUCCCCGGAAAACUGAUUUUCUGGAGCAUGUUUUUUUUUUUUUUUUUAGUUUUCUGUUUCCUCUCGCUGUAGGAACUAAAAACAACUUCAUUUUGCAUUCAGCAUAUUUUUCCCAAGCUGCCGAAGUCUUCUGGGGCCUCACACUUCAGGGCUGGAUUACCGUAUUGACUUGAAUAUAAGAUCCUGCAUAUAAGACUACCCCUCUUUUUCAAGACCUGUCGGUGGGAAAAUCUUUUUAAAGGCAUAAUUCAUCUUUUUACAUUUUUUUUUAUAUAAAUCAUGUUUUCAUUGUCAGUGAAAUAACUUUGACCCGUCUCCGUUGCGGCUGCAGAUCAUUGGUAUGUGUGAGUGACAGGAAGAAAAGCUCUCGCCAACGCGCCACCUGUUGUUUUACAUAUAGAAAACUCUAGACCUCAAAUAUAAGACGACACGUCUUUUUCAGACUUUGUUUCUUUUAUUCAGCUUAUAAAACAUGCCUCCAUUAACAACUAAGGUCAAGUUCAUUCAAUUCAAACCUUAAACACACCUCACCUUCUGCCCCUUUUUUAAACAAAAAAAAGAAAGGUUCUUAUACGGUGUAGCCCAAAAUGACUCCUCACACUUUGCUAUUUUUUUUUUUUUUUUUUGCCUUUUUCAUUUCAAGCUUUGUGAACCAUGCAGUGGAUUAUGGAAAUGGAGCUUCUCUGAGGAUUUUGCUGUCGAGUUUAAGCUACCAAAAAAAAAAAAAAAGCACACGUGGUGACCCGCCAUGCUGUGUGUGUGUGUGUGUGUGUGUGUGCGCGCGUGCAAACAUUGAACCAAAGAAGCAAGCUUGUGUGAGCUCAGUAUUUUAAAGCAACAUCACUUGGCCACUGAGGUCAUGUGAUGUGAUCAUUUUCAGCGACUCAUUAAUGAUGGUCUCGUUUUAUGAUGACUUGCCUUGCAUACGUAGAACAGGACUGUCAUUAAUGCUGUUAUUCAUGUUUCCCCGGCCACCUUACUUGAAACUGUAAACAGCCCUGUGUGCGAGUGACGUGUUUGAUCCGCAAUAAAUUAUAUUUAUCAUCAAACUGUUUGCUGUCACUCAGUAGCGCACACAAGUUGUCACACGUUACGCUGUACUUGUUAUUACCUCCUUAUUUAAUCUGCUUCACUUUCCAGCGUUCUCUUUGAUUUAGUGUCCUCAUUAUCAUGGAUGAGCUGAUCUUACUUUUCCCAUGAGCUUUCUCCAUACAGAGGUCGUGACUGUGUGUGUGACAAAGACAGAGUGUGUGUUCAAGGUAUAGGGUCCUAAACUAUAGACUGAAUGAAGCUCAUUGUUGCUGUCUGUUGUCUGUGACCUCACCGACUGCCAUAAAUAACGCAUCACCUCCUCUCUCCGUCAAGUUAUGGCCCUGAAUGCUACACGUAAUGCACAUUUUGCUUUUACCCGGGAGGGUCAAACUGAGUUUAGCCUUCCUGUCUAGUAAAUAAAUGUCACACUGGUGUAUUAAAAAUGAAUCUAAACAGCACUAUUUCGGCUGUUGACUGUUGUUAAGCCUGGUAAGUUAUUUUUUAAUAUUACAACACUGAGACUGGUAUUAAAAAUGGUGCCUUGACACUGUCAGAAAGGUACUAUUAAUAAAUUAAUCACAAUCGCAUUUUGAUUGAACAAUAGUUUGACACAGUAGAAAUGCUUUUCAUUUCAGUUUGACUGUGGUCGAGGGCUGACUCAAUGAAUAGACAUACGUGCACUUAAAUUACAAUAUGAAGUCAAAAAGGUUCAUUUUCCGUCAGGCUACUACAUAUACAAUUAAGCCAUUUUUUCCCCAAUGAAGUGCAGUUAUGGGAAUAUCAUUUUUGUAAAUUGAAGUUGCCUAUAUUCAUCCUUCUAAGGGACU